rnacentral:rRNA from 1 species
GUGGGGAAUCUUGCGCAAUGGGCGAAAGCCUGACGCAGCCAUGCCGCGUGAAUGAUGAAGGUCUUAGGAUUGUAAAAUUCUUUCACCGGGGACGAUAAUGACGGUACCCGGAGAAGAAGCUCCGGCUAACUUCGUGCCAUCAGCCGCGGUAAUACGAAGGGGGCUAGCGUUGCUCGGAAUUACUGGGCGUAAAGGGCGCGUAGGCGGACAGCUUAGUCAGAGGUGAAAGCCCAGGGCUCAACCUUGGAAUUGCCUUUGAUACUGGCUGUCUUGAGUUUGGGAGAGGUGAGUGGAACUCCGAGUGUAGAGGUGAAAUUCGUAGAUAUUCGGAAGAACACCAGUGGCGAAGGCGACUCACUGGCCCAAUACUGACGCUGAGGCGCGAAAGCGUGGGGAGCAAACAGGAUUAGAUACCCCAGUAGUCC